GAAGAGAAAACAGGAAAAAAUGAUUUGGCCCCUUUGGUCAGAUUAUGGGAAGUUAUCCUGAAUUCAAAUUUCUAAGAGGGAAGAAAAAUGGUUUUUACUUGUUUUGCUUCCAUGGGUAGAAAUGACUCAAGAGAACUCUAAAGCCCCUAAAGGCAGGUCCCAUCUGCCAAGGAGGCCAUUGGAGGUCCACAUGUCCCCAAAGUAUAUACUCUUGGAUAUCCCAAAUACAUAGUUGGUAUCUAUAUUCUUACUUUAGAUGGUAAUUAGGAUAAUUAGCAUUACUCAACGUCUUGUAAGAUAUCUAUGAAACAGACUCUAUAACUAGAAUAUCCAUGUCUAUUUCAGGUCACAUACCUGGAGAUUUUUUUGAAAGUCAGUUCACCUCUUUGGCUCUCAUAAUCUCCUUCUGAAUAGUGGUUUAAAGAAGAAUGCCCCCUAUAGACUCAUAUAUUUGGAAGCUUAGUUACCAGGAAGUGGAACUCUUUGAUAGGAUUAGAAGGAUUAGGAGCUAUGACCUUGUGGGAUGAAGUGUGUCACCAAGGAUGGGCUUUGAGGUUUCAGAAACCCAUGCCAGGCCCAGUCAGACUCUCUCUCCCUCUGACUACAGAUAAGGAAAUAGCUCUCAGCUUUUGCUUCAACACUAUGCCUGCCAUCAUGCUCUUCACCAUGAUGAUAAUGGACCAAGCUUCUGAAAAUGGGGUUGCAGUUAAGAGAAGGCUUUGAGUCUCAGACACUUUGAACUUUGGACCUUUGAACAGUCUUGAGACUUUGAUAGACAAGGGGAUUUUUGAAGUUGGUCUGAAAGCAUUGUAUGUGUUAUGGGUGGCCCACCAGAGAUGACCACACAGAUACACUUCAUAUCCAACUGAAAGUCUUUAUUCCAGCCAGCUGGGGCCAUACCAGAUCAGAAUGCAGCUCUGAACUACUUCAGCAAUAUCAUGCCUUCCAUGCCUGUCAGCAUGAUCCUCACCAUGAUGGUAGGGACCCAAGCGUCUGAAACUGUAAGCAAGUCCCCAGUUAAAUGCUUUCCUUUAUGAGUUGCCAUGGUCAUGGUGUGUCUUCACAACAAAAGAACAGUGACUAGGACGAUGGAGAAUUUGAAUUAAUCUCUUUUCAGAAGAAUGUCUUGGAUGUGGCUAUUGACUCACAAAGUGGAUUGAAAUCAAGCAGCGAAAAGGAUGGGAAGAAGGCUUGGACUGAACAGUGCCCCAGUUAUAGUUGCCAAAUGAACUGAACUAACCCCGUUCAGAUUGGAAUUCUGCUCCUGAGUAAAAAUGGCAAAACUCCUCUUGCCCUCAGAUCUGCUUUUCAUUCAAAGUUGAAUAACUACUUGGAAUAAUCCAUACAGACAUGUCCUUAAAAAUCAAGAGCUAAACCAGGAAACAUGAGUCGUUUGCACCUUGCCUUCCCAAGUUCCAUUCAAGUUUCUCAAGAGGAGUCAUGUCUGAGUAGGAGCUUUCAUGCUUGUAGAGAGAUGGGACACUGGAGAGCAGCCCAGGAAGAGAGAUGCCAGGCUCCCCUAAGCAUCAUGGGGAGGACCGAAAGUCUAAGUACAGAGCACUGGGACCAUGGGUCACCCCAAGUCCCCCUCCUGACCCAGCAUAAGUAGGAAACUCUUCCCCCUCAUCUCAGCCCUUCUCCUACCUCCUUCCUAUUCACCCAUCACACAAAGUUCAGAAAAACAAUCUCUGGGAAAAAGACAUCUGAGAGGCUCUGCACACUGGGAUGCUGGCCCCCAAGGAGUGCAGAGGAGAGGCUAAAACCUAGAGUCUUCUUAAAUAUCUGUCUAUUGAACCAUGUUACCACAAUUCCUUCUGAUUGUGCUCCGGAGUACCAGAAGCUCUACACUGCCUUUGGGAGAAGACCAAAACUGUCUCAAGAGGGAUCCAUCUAAGUGACCCAUGUGCUCGCCUCCAGAGUGUUCUAAUGACUGUCCUGCUUUGACCUUCGACAGCCUGCAAACAUGCCUCCCUGCAACAGCUUCUCAUUAGCUUCCUGAUACGUGACCCUUAAAGAUAAGUGGACAGAGAUCAAAACACAUUUGGAUCUAUCGCCAUGACAGACACGUGCUGCAGAUGGAUUCUAACUAACGUCUUCACGCUGUUUGGCCUGCAACUUCUCACACUUCUACUGAUUCUGGCUUUGACCAUGUGACUUGAAUUAGCCAGUGGGACAGUAGUUAACUGCAUGUAAGUAGAAGCUUGAAAUAAUGCUGUGUAUUUCCUCUGCCACUCACAUGUUUGCAUGGCUGAGCUACCUAGUUGGAGAAACAGAAAAAUCAUGUAGGAGAACCCCACGCUCCUGACAAAGAAUGUAAUGUUAGAAUCUAGCUGCUGUCUGUAGCUGCUCCACACUUUCACAGGUACUGACAGGCACCUAUGGAGACAUUGUCUGAGUCCCUAGCUAACAGGCUUGCUAGUGCCAGGAUAUGACAUCUCAUCUGGAAAGCAAGUUGUCAUCAAAGGUGCUACAUCCUGGUCCCCACCACUUUCGCUGACUUCUGCCUGGGAAUCAGAGAGCCUGGCUGCAAAACCAUACUGUGAACUACCCCCAAGCUCAAUGUAUUAGUUUGCUUCUACAAGAUUGUGAUAAAAAAUUCUAACCAAGGCAACUUAGGGAAGAAAGAGUUUAUUUAGCUUAAAGCUUCCAUUCCAUCAGCAGCAGAAGGCAGGAUUGGAGCUCAUAAGGAAGAGAGGCCAUGGAGGAAUCCUACUUACUCUUUGCUCUCUUAUACAAUGUAGGACCACCUGCCCAGGGGUGGCACACUGUCCUUAGUGGACUGGGUCCUCCAUAUCAAUCAUUAAUGUCUCACAGACAUGCCCACUGGCUAAUCUGA